rnacentral:rRNA from 1 species
UACGUAGGGUGCGAGCGUUGUCCGGAAUUAUUGGGCGUAAAGGGCUCGUAGGCGGUUUGUCGCGUCGGGAGUGAAAUCCAUUGGCUUAACUGGUGGCUUGCUUUCGAUACGGGCAGACUGGAGGUAUGCAGGGGAGAACGGAAAUUCCUGGGUGUAAGCGGUGAAAUGCGCAGGAUAUCAGGAGGAACACCGGUGGCGGAAGGCG